UAAGCGUACACGGUGGAUGCCCUGGCAGUCAGAGGCGAUGAAGGACGUGCUAAUCUGCGAUAAGCGUCGGUAAGGUGAUAUGAACCGUUAUAACCGGCGAUUUCCGAAUGGGGAAACCCAGUGUGAUCCGUCACACUAUCAUUAACUGAAUCCAUAGGUUAAUGAGGCGAACCGGGGGAACUGAAACAUCUAAGUACCCCGAGGAAAAGAAAUCAACCGAGAUUCCCCCAGUAGCGGCGAGCGAACGGGGAGCAG
rnacentral:rRNA from 1 species